CCUACGGGUGGCAGCAGUGGGGAAUAUUGCACAAUGGGGGAAACCCUGAUGCAGCGACGCCGCGUGAGUGAAGAAGUAUUUCGGUAUGUAAAGCUCUAUCAGCAGGGAAGAAGAAAGACGGUACCUGACCAAGAAGCCCCGGCUAACUACGUGCCAGCAGCCGCGGUAAUACGUAGGGGGCAAGGGUUAUCCGGAUUUACUGGGUGUAAAGGGAUCGUAGGCGGUAAGGCAAGUCUGAAGUGAAAGCCCAGGGCUUAACCCUGGGACUGCCUUUGAAACUGUUAGACUCGAGUGCUGGAGAGGUAAGUGGAAUGCCUGGUGUAGCGGUGAAAUGCGUAGAUAUUAGGAGGAACACCAGUGGCGAAGGCGGCUUACUGGACAGUAACUGACGUUGAGGCUCGAAAGCGUGGGGAGCAAACAGGAUUAGAUACCCGUGUAGUC
rnacentral:rRNA from 1 species